rnacentral:rRNA from 1 species
GAGUUUGAUCCUGGCUCAGAAUGAACGUUGGCGGCGUGGAUUAGGCAUGCAAGUCGUACGGGGCCGCAAGGUACCCGUGGCGUAAGGGUGAGUAAGGCGACGGUAACCUACCCCAGGGCCGGGUAUAGCCGCGGGAAACCGCGGGUAAUCCCCGGCGACGCCGAGCCCCCGGCAUCGGGGGCCGGCCAAAGGUGUGAUUCCGCCCUGGGACGGGCCGUCGUGGUAUUAGGUAGUUGGCGGGGUAAUGGCCCACCAAGCCUCUGAUGCCUACCGGGCGUGCGAGCGUGGCCCGGCACACUGGGACUGAGACACUGCCCAGACUCCUACGGGAGGCUGCAGUCGAGAAUCUUCGGCAAUGGGCGCAAGCCCGACCGAGCGACGCCGCGUGGAGGACGAAGGCCUUCGGGUUGUAAACUCCUGUCGGGGGGGAACAAGGGGGCGUGCAGAACGUCCCUUGAGUGAUCCCCGGAGGAAGCACGGGCUAAGUUCGUGCCAGCAGCCGCGGUAAGACGAACCGUGCGAACGUUAUUCGGAAUUACUGGGCUUAAAGCGCGUGUAGGCGGGCCGGCACGUCGGUCGCUGAAAGCCCCCGGCUCAACCGGGGAAGCGGCGCCGAUACGACCGGCCUGGAGGGGGGUAGGGGGACCUGGAACUUCCGGUG